CUAGCAUAAUGGAGAUGCUUAAUCUCCAUUGUCUUGAGAGGUACAGUGCAGCAGUUUGACACGUGUAAGGGUGAGGAGGACAAGAAUGUAGGGAAGGAAAGAAUUUAAGGGGAGCUCGACAAACAGCCCGGUCUACAGAAAGAAGAUGAUGUAGGAAGAUUUACUUGAGAAGGUGGACUGAAUGAAGAAAAGAGUUGAUAGAAAAUGGAAAGAAUUCUUUAGUCAGAAAAGAACACUGUGAAGAAAAAAUACAGUUCAAUCGUGAAAUAAUGGUCCCAGAGAGUGCACCACACAGAACACAGACCUACGUCAUAUCAUGCAGCGUCUUUGAGAAAGUUGUUCUUCACUGGCCUCUGCUCCACAGCAAUAAAUCUGGAAUCCAUGUGCAUGACUCACACAUUUCUGAACAUGAAUUCUGGCUCUUCUGUCAGCUUCUCUGAUGUUUACAAACAUCUCAACUGCUACCAUAUUAGAAGUACUGGGUUGUGUUUAUACCCUUCAUUUCUACAGAUGGUAAAAUAUGGAUGCGCAUUUGGAUUAAGACUACUGAGGCGUUCAAUAAAUGAUGAACUGUUCAGUCUGAGGCAUCUCUUCAUGUUGGGCAGUCUUACCCGGGAGAAGGAAACUUAACUUCUGCAAUGCAUAAUUUACCCUUUCAAUUAACCUUUCUUUAGUACCAUUCUUAAAAAUGGUUUCAGGGUUUCAACGACUAAGGGCCAAUGAA